UUUCCAAAAAUUGGACCACAUAAAACGCUGACAUGUCCGCGGGCCAAUCAAGUUUGCAAGCGUGCCAUCCACGCAAGCAAAAAUCUGUCGCGUGGACAGAUCACGCUAGGGGAGAGGGUCAUCGGAUCUAACGACUCCACAAGAAGAUGCCGAUCCAAUGGCCGAGAUCCAAUCGCACAACGAAAAACUCAUGUUGCAUCUUACCUAAAAUUAAAUGGAUGAUCCUAAUUCAAUGGCAUGCUAAUUCCAACGACUCACAUGAUGAACAGUUCAUAUUUGUGAAGACAGGCGAUCCAACAACUAGAAAUACUCACGAAGGAGAAAACUGAAAUUGCCCUUAAUUAUUUCCAAUCUAAUGGUUUGUAUGUGGCCACAUAUGUGA
rnacentral:lncRNA from 1 species